GCCCUUUUUUUACAAAAACAAGUUUUGGGGGUUAAUUUAUUUUAGGUUUGGCCUGCUCAAUGAUUAUUUAAAUAGCCGCCAGUUUUUUGACUGUGCAAAGGUAGCAUAAUCAAAUUGUUUUUUAAUUGGAGGGCUUGUAUGAAAGGGCUUGAUGAAAAUUAUCCUUUCUUUAUAUUAAUGAUUUGAAUUUAACAUUUAAGUCAAAAGGGUUAAAUUUUUUAAUGGGACGAGAAGACCCUAUAGAAUUUUAUUUAAUAGUUAAAUAUUUUAUUAUUUGGAAAUUUACUUGAUUUUUAUUUUCUAUUAAAUUUUGUUGGGGCGAUAGGAAGGUUUAUUUAACCCUUUUAUAUAAAUUUUUAUUUAUCUAUAAAUUUAUGAUCCUUUAUUAUGGAUAUUUAGAUUAAAUUACCUUAGGGAUAACAGCGUAAUCUUUUUGGAGAGUUCUUAUCGAUGAAAGGGGUUGCGACCUCGAUGUUGGAUUAAAAUUUGGAUUAAGUGCAUCAGCUUAAUUAUCUAGGUCUGUUCGACCUUUAAAAUUUUACAUGAUCUGGUUUCAACCCGGA
rnacentral:rRNA from 1 species